AUUGAACGCUGGCGGCAGGCCUAACACAUGCAAGUCGAACGAGUGGCGGACGGGUGAGUAAUGUCUGGGAAACUGCCUGAUGGCGGGGGAUAACUCCUGGAAACGGUAGCUAAUACCGCAUACCAUCGGAUGUGCCCAGAUGGGAUUAGCUUGUUGGUGGGGUAACGGAUCACCAAGGCGACGAUCCCUAGCUGGUCUGAGAGGAUGACCAGCCACACUGGAACUGAGCCACGGGACAGACUCCUACGGGAGGCAGCAGUGGGGAAUAUUGCACAAUGGGCGCAAGCCUGAUGCAGCCAUGCCGCGUGUAUGAAGAAGGCCUUCGGGUUGUAAAGUACUUUCAGCGGGGAGGCGUUACCCGCAGAAGAAGCACCGGCGAACUCCGUGCCAGCAGCCGCGGUAAUC
rnacentral:rRNA from 1 species